rnacentral:rRNA from 1 species
UACAGAGGGUGCGAGCGUUGUUCGGAAUCAUUGGGCGUAAAGCGCUUGUAGGCGGCCUGUCAAGUCGCGUGUGAAAUCCCUUGGCUUAACCAAGGAAGUGCGCGCGAAACUGGCGGGCUUGAGUGCCGGAGAGGGUCGCGGAAUUCCCGGUGUAGAGGUGAAAUUCGUAGAUAUCGGGAGGAACACCAGUGGCGAAGGCGGCUCACUGGCCCGGUACUGACGCUGAGGUGCGAAAGCGUGGGGAGCAAACAGG